UUGCCCCAGUAACGGCGAGUGAAGCGGCAACAGCUCAAAUUUGAAAUCUGGCUUCGGCCCGAGUUGUAAUUUGUAGAGGAAGCUUUUGGCGAGGUGCCUUCUGAGUCCCCUGGAACGGGGCGCCAUAGAGGGUGAGAGCCCCGUAUAGUUGGACACCUAGCCUCUGUAAAGCUCCUUCGACGAGUCGAGUAGUUUGGGAAUGCUGCUCAAAAUGGGAGGUAAAUUUCUUCUAAAGCUAAAUAUUGGCCAGAGACCGAUAGCGCACAAGUAGAGUGAUCGAAAGAUGAAAAGCACUUUGAAAAGAGGGUUAAACAGCACGUGAAAUUGUUGAAAGGGAAGCGCUUGUGACCAGACAUGCGCCGGGCGGAUCAUCCGGUGUUCUCACCGGUGCACUCCGCCCGGCUCAGGCCAGCAUCGGUUCUCGCGGGGGGAUAAAGGCCUGGGGAACGUAGCUCCUCCGGGAGUGUUAUAGCCCUGGGCGCAACGCCCUCGCGGAGACCGAGGUUCGCGCAUCUGCAAGGAUGCUGGCGUAAUGGUCAUCAGCGACCCGUCUUGAAACACGGACCAAGGAGUCAAGGUUUUGCGCGAGUGUUUGGGUGUUAAACCCGCACGCGUAAUGAAAGUGAACGUAGGUGAGAGCUUCGGCGCAUCAUCGACCGAUCCUGAUGUAUUCGGAUGGAUUUGAGUAGGAGCGUUAAGCCUUGGACCCGAAAGAUGGUGAACUAUGCUUGGAUAGGGUGAAGCCAGAGGAAACUCUGGUGGAGGCUCGCAGCGGUUCUGACGUGCAAAUCGAUCGUCAAAUCUGAGCAUGGGGGCGAAAGACUAAUCGAACCAUCUAGUAGCUGGUUACCGCCGAAGUUUCCCUCAGGAUAGCAGUGUUGUUCUUCAGUUUUAUGAGGUAAAGCGAAUGAUUAGGGACUCGGGGGCGCUUUUUAGCCUUCAUCCAUUCUCAAACUUUAAAUAUGUAAGAAGCCCUUGUUACUUAAUUGAACGUGGGCAUU
rnacentral:rRNA from 1 species